GUGUAUAUGCCUGUAAUUGUCUUCAUGGGUAAUUGGGUAUGUGUUUCUGUCUUACAAGUUCAUUAUCAAUAUUUGAAAAUCAAAGUCCCUUCAAAUGUAACUUAUAUAUUUUGGAUAUUCCUUCAUCUUAUUCUUUGUUGGAGAGUUAAUAUUGAAAUUAGACAUGGACAGUGUGGUCCUUUUUCCGCGUAUGGACAAUUCAUAUGAUUGAAUUCUGUCUAGGUUGUAUUUAUCUUCUUCCAACUGUAAUGCUGAUGUGACUUUCUUUUUGGGUUAAGAGGAAAAUGCUCAAUGCACUUCACAUUGCAUUUGAUUGUGGACUUAUUCUAUUUUUAUUAAAUGCAAAUGCAAACACAAAUUGCUCCCCAAGUUCAUAAAUUUCUGAUUUUUGCUCUAAUCAUGUGCUUCUUUAUGAAUUUAGAGCAGUAUGGGAUAAAAUUAUCCCUUCAGGAAUUCAAAGAAUUUGAUGGGUUGAAAGAUGAUUACGGAAUCAAUUGGCAUUUAGAUCUGAAAUUGAUAGUUGAUGAUUUGUUGUCGUUGGUUUAAACAACUUAUUUUCACACGGUUAUGUUGAAGCACCUGCUUUUUAGAAGUGAUGAACAUAUAUACUAUUUUAUAUUUUGACAUUAUAGGCAAUGGAACAAGUAAUUCACCAAUAUCCUGUUUAGUACAGAAAAUAGGAACCUUUACUUUUUCUUUCUUCGGAAAGUCAUUGAAGAUACUAUUGAAGCUCACAACGGAUAGGAAGUACUUAGAACAUCCUAACUUUUAGUGCAUUUCGUUUAAGGCUUCAAACAUUCAUAAUUUCACGAGAAAGACGCGUCAGAAGUUAUGAUUUUGUGCCCAUCAUUAGUUAAUGAAAACAAUGGAUUUACACGAUGUCAAAUUAUCAUGACCACUCCAUGGAUUCUUAAUAUGUGGUUUGAUGCCAUCCUCUCUUGUAUGCUUAUAGUUUUAUUUCUAUCAUCAAAACCCUUCAUAAUUGUUUUGAUGGAUUUCCAAAUUUACAAGGUAGUAUAUAUUUUAUGCUUAUGACUUCUGGACCUGUCUACAGAUUAAUGAAAUAUGUAUCAACAGAAGGGUGUUCAUAUCUGAAGCUUAGUUCAUAGUACUCCAUUAGUUCGUAGUCAGCCAUUAGACUGUGGUGCCAGUUCAAUGGAUCCCNUCAACUAAGUAAACAAUGCUAAUAACAUUCCUAAUCUAGCCUCUAAGCAGUGGCUUUGUUGGACUCACGAGCUUCGUGAACGGUUUGUCAAUGCCAUGGCACAACUUGGUGGAUAAGAUCGUGAGUCAUCUUGACUACCAUUUAGCUAACUCCCUCAAAGUUCCCGUAACGCAUGAAAGAAAGAUAAAAGCGACAUUUUAGCUCUAAGUUUUAUUCGUGUGCUUUCAUAUUGACUUUCAAAUAGUGAUAAUGAACUUGUGUCAUGUUCCCAAAUAUAUAUUAAUUGAUGAGUUUUUGAGCUUUAAACUUUUGUUUCUUGUCUUCAUGCUAUGUACAUUUUCAAUUUGGUGAUACAAUCUCAUGCUUGCUUAUGUUCCCAAAUUCAUGAUUAUAAUAAAUGAUUGAAUAGGAGUUAAUAUUUAUUGUGAUGGAGAGAUACAUGUGAAGGUAUUGUAGAUACACUCAUUUGGUACAUCUGAUAAGGUGUUAAUAUGCUGUUGUAGGAUGGAAAGACGUUUUCCAAGGAAUACGAAGCANNNNNNNNNNNNNNNNNNNNNCAGAUGCUAUAUUUCCCCAUACUUCAUCACAAAUCAGAAGAACCAGAAAUGUGUAAGUCUCUUUGCUGCUGUUACUUGCAAUAAAAUGUUUAUUACUUAAUAAAUCGACUCUUUGAUUUAUUUGCUUGCUCUGAAAUGAUAUGAGUUUGCCAAAUCAUACAUUGAUGCACUUCAUAAGGUGUUUCCUUUGAGGUUUUUCAUACUGAAUGGAAUGAUUUUGAAUAUCGAUAUAUUAGUAAAAAGCUUUCCCCAACUUUUGAAUUGUCCAAAGAAAAACUUUAUGUAAGAGUCGAAGCACCAAAAGGAGAAUUCGGAAUAAAAGUUUGAACAAUGAGAGCAUUUGAUUUUCAUCUGUAAUAUGUUCUAAUUUGACCAAUCUUUUUACAUUCUCUAGGUUCUGACAGUUGAAUAUGUCUCUAGGAUCAAAAUAAACUGCAUACAAGGUCUUGAUCAAUUAAGUGUGUAUCGCCAGAGGUAUCAAAGAAUAUAUAUGAACCACUUUAAGUGAAAUCCUCCUUAUCUUGAUGUCAGCUUUUCUACUUCUAUUUUUAUUUCUUUUGGGAGUAAUUAAGCAAUUCAAUAAUUUUAUUUUUUUCUCAAUAUCCCAACUAUGGGUGCUACUGGAAAUUGUAGGUUGCUUAUAUUUUUUCUCUUGAUGCCCCCAUUGGUUAUGUUUUCCUUGUUGGACUUUAAUGAGUAUUCUAGAUGAUUAUUUUGAUGGCUACUAUCAUAAGAGAUGUUAGAAUCUUAGAUAAUUGUUACACAUUGUCUUCUUCUUGCCAACUCUUUCACUAGAUUUAUUUCAAAUAUGAGUUUCCUCUUGAACUAAAUAUCUUGCCAAAACUGUACACCCAACUUUAUCAGGUAUUGCGUCUAUAAAAUUAUUUUCUUCACCUGGUUUAUAAUUUGUUCGUGGUCAUCGAUUUUCUGCAGGAAGUAUACAAUAAUCUUUUUUUAACUACUGAACUCUUACUCGUAGGUGUGGUUGUUGUACCUUUACACGGGGUGAGCUCUAAGGUAAAACAUUCUGAGAGUCAGUGGAAGUGAUAUACGUCCACGGUAGUUUAGUUACCCUUUUGGCAUAUGUCAAUUACUUUCGAAGAGAUAUUUCUUUUAAUUUCUUCUAAAAUUUCUAUCUGAUUGCCAAGACAUAUUUCUUGCACAUGCAUCCUUGUCCCCGUUGUUAAUUUAGUCAGACUGGAGCUGUUUGUUGAAGUUGGUAGAUAGGUAAAGUACUUGUUAAAAUAAAAAAUUUUGUUGGUUUUUUUUUUUUGCUAAAAUUAUGUUGAUUUUCUUUGUUGUUAUAUAAUGAAAUUUGAUACUAAUGGGACAUCUUGUCAAGACUAGAUAGAACUUGUGGACUAGAGGAUCAGAAUUAUUUUUGUUGUUCUAUUAGUGCUUUUGUUUGUUCAUUGCUUCUGUUUUCUACAAGUAUGCUGUGAAAAACUGAAAGUCGUAUUUUAUUUCUCCAGGUAGAGUUGGAUUCGAGGGAAAAACACCACCCAUGUGAUACAAAUGUCACAGGUGCAAGGUGCUUGGUAUGUCAAUGUACCUGCAAGUAUCAUUUGCUUUUUUCUGUUUAUUUUAUUUAUUUAUUUAUUUAUUUAUUUUAUUUUAUUUUAUUUUUAUCACUCAAGUAAAUAGAAGUUCUUAGAUGAAACAAAUGCACUACUAAAAUUCAUACUUGAUAAAAUACUUUUAUAUAGUGCAUUUGAUACAGCGCUGCCCAACCACUGGAUAUCUGAAUUAUGACUUAGAAAUAGUGAAACCUCCCACUGCAAUCUCAAGUCUAUGCUAAUGGCUAUUCCUGGAGACUCAUAUGCAUUACCAAGUGGGGCUAUUGCAGUGUUGAAGCCAAAUGAGUAAGUAGUUUCUAAAAAUUCAUAUCGACCUUUUUAUGUAGAGGGUGCGAUGUUCUGAGCUAGGAAUUGAAGAGGAGACAAUACGGGCCUUUUAUGUUGAUUUUGUUAGAGAGAUUUUUAUGUUGUUCUUUUCCAUUAUGCUGAUGGGAGCAAGGCCCACUUCUGCUAAUUAAUAAUCCCAUAUGUACCAAAUUGAAUUGGGGUGUUACCUUUUUUUUUUUUUUUUCCAUAACAAGUUUGUUAUCCACAGAUUAUUCAUAACUUCAUAGAUAUGAAAGAAGUUACAUUUUGGAAAUUAGUUUUUAAGCAAUCCUUCGUAAAUAAGUGUCGUCAUGUGACGAUAUUUGUUAGUUCUCAGACCAGUGGCAUGAUUUUGAUCUAUUGAAUUUCAGCAAAGGAGGAGGAAAAGAAGAGUAUGCACUUUUUGUUUUAAUCCUUAUUGUACUUGCACAAAUAUAGUGUAUGUUCUGCUUUGGCUGAUUAAUCCAUUCAUAUUUUCUACAGGACAGAGAUUGGAAAGCAUGAGAUGAACAAAUAUAUGCAACAAAGGAUGAUUGUAUACUGAUGAAAAAUUAUUCUUUUCGAACUUCUCUGAAGUUAUCUUUGUUCUUCGUUUUACAUUUUACAUAAUUAGUUCGAAAGAUAAUUUUUCUAUGGAUCUCAUUGAAGUUUUCUUUAUUUCUUCACUCUUUUGAUGCUUCGUAACUGUAUCUUAUGGGUGAAAUCAUGUGUAAAUUUUCUUUUCAAAUUGAGUUUAUUUUGUUGACCUCAUUCAAUGCACAUAUCUCCCUUUAAUCCUAAACAUUCGACAUAUUUGUUAGUUCUCAGACCAGUGGCAUGAUUUUGAUCUAUUGAAUUUCAGCAAAGGAGGAGAAACAGAAGAGUAUGCACCUUUUAUUUUAAUCCUUAUUGUACUUGCACAAAUAUAGUGUAUGUUCUGCUUUGGUUGAUUAAUCCAUUCAUAUUUUCUACAGGACAGAGAUCGGAAAGCAUGAGAUGAACAAAUAUAUGCAACAAAGGAUGAUUGUAUACUGAUGAAAAAUUAUUCUUUUCGAACUUCUCUGUAGUUAUCUUUGUUCUUCGUUUUACAUUUUACAUAAUUAGUUCGAAAGAUAAUUUCUCUAUGGAUCUCAUUGAAGUUUUCUUUAUUUCUUCACUCUUUUGAUGCUUCGUAACUGUAUCUUAUGGGUGAAAUCAUGUGUAAAUUUUCUUUUCAAAUUGAG
rnacentral:lncRNA from 1 species